AUUCUAUUCCCUCCGUUCGAAAUUACUCGUCACAAAAAUGGAUAAAAAUGGAUGUAUCUACAAUUAAAAUACAUCUAGAUACAUUCAUUUCUUGGACGAGUAAUUCUGAACGGAGGGAGUAGCAC
rfam:Triticum aestivum genome assembly, contig: Triticum_aestivum_CS42_TGACv1_scaffold_641428_T_1BS-0.320233_7BL-0.197042